UAGCAGGCUUCCAGGACCCAGAUACUGUAACCUAUAUGGUACUGCUGCCCCUGAUUGUCUGUUCAGCUCUUUGGCCACUGCAUGGAUGCUGCUGCCUGUCUGAGCCUUUGCACCCCUCUAUCUUAAUUUUUCUAAUCCAGGUUAUAUGAUCGUUGGGGCAGGGACUAUUCAUCUGAGUUCUCUACACACAGUCAUGAAGAGCAUCCUCAGGACUGGCUGUAGGGAUUCUGCUGCCAUCUGCCCCUGUCUACGUGCGCGCACCCCCCCACACUGUUAACCCAAGAACAGACUUGGGGAUCCCAGGUUCCCAAGGUGUUGACACAAUAAGCUGUUCCUGUAAGGUGAAAGGAGGGGGCCGGCCCUAGUAGAAUUGCCAGAGUUUACCCAGGACUUCCCUAUGCCCUUCAGGAAAUUCCCCCAGAACAGAUUAGAUCUGUUCACCCCUGGGAGAACGCAGAUCCAGCCUUCUGCUCAAAGGAUUGACACUUUUCCAAAACAGUGUUCUCUU